GACGAACGCUGGCGGCGUGCUUAACACAUGCAAGUCGAACGGAAAGGCCCUGCUUUUGUGGGGUGCUCGAGUGGCGAACGGGUGAGUAACACGUGAGUAACCUGCCCUUGACUUUGGGAUAACUUCAGGAAACUGGGGCUAAUACCGGAUAGGAGCUCCUGCUGCAUGGUGGGGGUUGGAAAGUUUCGGCGGUUGGGGAUGGACUCGCGGCUUAUCAGCUUGUUGGUGGGGUAGUGGCUUACCAAGGCUUUGACGGGUAGCCGGCCUGGGAGGGUGACCGGCCACAUUGGGCCUGAGGUACGGCCCAGACUCCAACGGGAGGCAGCAGUGGGAAAUAUUGCACAAUGGGCGGAAGCCUGAUACGGCGGCGCCGCGUGCGGGAUGACGGCCUUCGGGUUAUAAACCGCUUUCGCCUGUGACGAAGCGUGAGUGACGGUAAUGGGUAAAGAAGCACCGGCUAACUACGUG
rnacentral:rRNA from 1 species